rnacentral:rRNA from 1 species
GUAGCCGGAUCUAAUCAGUUGGAGGUGAAAUCCCGGAGACUUAAGCCUCGGAACUGCCUUCAAUACUGUCAGUCUUGAGAUCGGAAGAGGUGAGUGGAAUUCCUAGUGUAGAGGUGAAAUUCGUAGAUAUUAGGAAGAACACCAGUGGCGAAGGCGGCUCCCUGGUCCGAUACUGACGCUGAGGUGCGAAAGCGUGGGGAGCGAACAGGAUUAGAUACCCUGGUAGUCCACGCCGUAAACGAUGAGAGCUAGCCGUCGAACAGUAUACUGUUCGGUGGCGCAGUUAACGCA